UGAUCCGGGACCUGGGUCAGGGUCCGGGACCUGGGUCUGAUCCAGGACCUGGGUCUGAUCCGGGACCUGGGUCAGGGUCCGGGACCUGGGUCAGGUUCAGAUCUUCAUCUGCUGUGUCAUGACUUGUUUUUCCAGGAUGAAGACCUGAAGUGGGUUGAAGAAAACAUCCCGACUUCGAUGGCUGAUGUCGCCCUGCCCCCUCUGCUGGACUCUGACGAGGAAACCAUCACCACCAAGUUGAGAUGUCCAAGAUGGAGUGAGGCGGGGGAGGGG